rnacentral:tRNA from 1 species
GGGAUUGUGGCUCAGCGGUAGAGUGCUCGCCUAGCAGGUGGGAGGCCCUGGGUUUGAUCCUCAGCACCA